UACGUAGGGACCGAGCGUUGUCCGGAAUCAUUGGGCGUAAAGAGCGUGUAGGCGGCCUUUUAAGUCCUGCGUGAAAUCCUGCGGCUCAACCGCAGACGGUCGUGGGAAACUGGAAGGCUAGAGUGCGGGAGAGGAGAGUGGAAUUCCCGGUGUAGCGGUGAAAUGCGCAGAUAUCGGGAGGAACACCGGUGGCCGAAGGCGGGUCUACUGGGCCGAUAC
rnacentral:rRNA from 1 species